GAUGAACGCUGGCGGCGUGCCUAACACAUGCAAGUCGAGCGAUUCUCUUCGGAGAAGAGCGGCGGACGGGUGAGUAACGCGUGGGUAACCUGCCCUGUACACACGGAUAACAUACCGAAAGGUAUGCUAAUACGAGAUCAUAUGCUUUUAUCGCAUGGUAGAAGUAUCAAAGCUCCAGCGGUACAGGAUGGACCCGCGUCUGAUUAGCUAGUUGGUAAGGUAACGGCUUACCAAGGCGACGAUCAGUAGCCGACCUGGGAGGGUGAUCGGCCACAUUGGAACUGAGCCACGUUCCAAACUCCUACGGGGGGGAGCAGUGGGGAAUAUUGAACAAUGGACGAAAGCCUGAUGCAGCAACGCCGCGUGAGAGAUGAAGGCCUUCGAGUCGUAAAGCUCUGUCCUCAAGGAAGAUAAUGACGGUACUUGAGGAGGAAGCCCCGGCUAACUACGUGCCAGCCGCCGCCGUAA
rnacentral:rRNA from 1 species